rnacentral:rRNA from 1 species
GAUGAACGCUAGCGGCAGGCCUAACACAUGCAAGUCGAGGGGUAGGAAGAGCUUGCUUUUCUGAGACCGGCGCACGGGUGCGUAACGCGUAUACAAUCUACCUUGUACAGGGGGAUAGCCCAGAGAAAUUUGGAUUAAUACCUCAUAGUGUUAUUGAGUGGCAUCACAUGAUAACUAAAGUUCCAACGGUACAAGAUGAGUAUGCGUCCCAUUAGUUAGAUGGUAAGGUAACGGCUUACCAUGACAAUGAUGGGUAGGGGUCCUGAGAGGGAGAUCCCCCACACUGGUACUGAGACACGGACCAGACUCCUACGGGAGGCAGCAGUGAGGAAUAUUGGACAAUGGGGGCAACCCUGAUCCAGCCAUGCCGCGUGCAGGAUGACGGUCCUAUGGAUUGUAAACUGCUUUUAUACAGGAAGAACCCCUUCUUUGCGAAGAAGACUGACGGUACUGUAAGAAUAAGGAUCGGCUAACUCCGUGCCAGCCGCCGCCGUAAUAC